AGGGGGGGGGGAAAUCAAACUACAAUGCACUCUAUUUAUUGAGAAUCCCAAAUAAAUAUCUAUAGCAAAACUUGCUCCCGUGCAGAAGCGUGGUGAAAGGAGAAAGAAUAUUAGGUAAUUGGAAAAGGACCCAGCUAGCUGAUGGACUAAUCUUUUCCUAAAGAGGAAAUUCUUGACAUGAGACUUCUGCCUGGGUCCGUGAAAUAACGUGCGGAUCAAAAUCUGGAAAAAAAAAAUUCAGCAACCAAGACGACCAAAAAGACAGAGAGGACACACUGGGUAGAGAAGUCUGAAUCCCAAACCUCUUGGUCUCCGAUCAUCAAGACACAGCGGACCGCAGCCCGACUUGCGUAGGCCAACUCCCAACCCUACGGGAGCUUGCUCCGAGCUGGCCCCAGACACGUGCGUGGAGGAAGAGACAGACACGCGAAGGCACGGGGGGCAGAGGCAUCCCCCAAAGGUGUAACUUGGGACCCAGCGCGUGGAGGGUUGGGUCUGGGCCUGGGCCCGCUGUAAAGAAACACAACGGGGGGAGUGGCAGGAGGCUAUUUGCCUGGUUUAGGGGUCCCCCCCGGCCCAAGUUAAUUGCAUUGUUUUGUUUAAUGCCACAUUCCCUCCGGGAGAGCAGGUGUCCCCCCUCCCGCCUCGCGGAAGUCCCCAGCGGCUUGGCGUUUGGCAGGUCGUUGUCUCUGGGGCUGUUCCCCCAGCAGGAGUCUCCGACGCUGGGGGAAGACCGAGGAGACGGGCCCUGUGCGAUGCCAUUGCUCACCUGUCUACACUGUCAGCAGCACCAAGACCAGCCCGCCUCGCCUCAACCCCCCGCCCCCCAUCCCCGUGCAUACGGAGCUUGGUGGAUUCCUCCAGCACUGCGCCCUCAGUCGCUGUGAAUUGCCGCGCAUAUCAACUGCGCUCCGCGCAAUCUGUGCUCAAGGAGGGGCGCCUGGCUAAGUAGGGGGCUGGGGAGAGGGACAGAGACCACCAAGACAAACUGACACCCGU
rnacentral:lncRNA from 1 species